rnacentral:rRNA from 1 species
GGAUGAACGCUAGCGGCAGGCCUAACACAUGCAAGUCGAGGGGUAACAUUGGUGCUUGCACCAGAUGACGACCGGCGCACGGGUGCGUAACGCGUAUACAAUCUACCUUUUGCUAAGGGAUAGCCCAGAGAAAUUUGGAUUAAUACCUUAUAGUAUGCAGACUUCUCAUGGAGAUUGCAUUAAAGAUUACGGCAAAAGAUGAGUAUGCGUCCUAUUAGUUUGUUGGUGUGGUAACGGCACACCAAGACUACGAUAGGUAGGGGCCCUGAGAGGGGGAUCCCCCACACUGGUACUGAGACACGGACCAGACUCCUACGGGAGGCAGCAGUGAGGAAUAUUGGACAAUGGAGGCAACUCUGAUCCAGCCAUGCCGCGUGCAGGAAGACUGCCCUAUGGGUUGUAAACUGCUUUUAUACAGGAAGAAACACUCCCUCGUGAGGGAGCUUGACGGUACUGUAAGAAUAAGGAUCGGCUAACUCCGUGCCAGCAGCCGCGGUAAUACGGAGGAUCCAAGCGUUAUCCGGAAUCAUUGGGUUUAAAGGGUCCGUAGGUGGAUAAUUAAGUCAGAGGUGAAAGUUUGCAGCUCAACUGUAAAAUUGCCUUUGAUACUGGUUAUCUUGAGUUAUUGUGAAGUAGUUAGAAUAUGUAGUGUAGCGGUGAAAUGCAUAGAUAUUACAUAGAAUACCAAUUGCGAAGGCAGAUUACUAACAAUAUACUGACACUGAUGGACGAAAGCGUGGGUAGCGAACAGGAUUAGAUACCCUGGUAGUCCACGCCGUAAACGAUGGAUACUAGCUGUUGGGCUUCGGCUCAGUGGCUAAGCGA